GAAAGUGCAGCAGAAAAUAUACCGCCUAAGGUUCUCUUCGGAGAAAACGGUAAGGUUGAAAUGGUGCGGUAAGAGCGCACCGCGUCGGUGGCAACAUUCGACGGCAUGGUAAACCCCACUCGGAGCAAGACCAAAUAGGGGAACAACGUGUGGCCCACAUGGUUCCCGGGUAGGUUGCUUGAGGAUUAUGGUGACAUAAUUCCAGAUGAAUGACUGUCCACGACAGAACCCGGCUUAUCGGCCAACUCCAUUU
rnacentral:RNase_P_RNA from 1 species